rnacentral:rRNA from 1 species
GUGUCAGCCGCCGCGGUAAUACGUAGGGUGCGAGCGUUAAUCGGAAUUACUGGGCGUAAAGCGUGCGCAGGCGGUUUGCUAAGACAGGUGUGAAAUCCCCGAGCUUAACUUGGGAAUUGCGCUUGUAACUGGCAAGCUAGAGUGUGGCAGAGGGGGGUGGAAUUCCACGUGUAGCAGUGAAAUGCGUAGAUAUGUGGAGGAACACCGAUGGCGAAGGCAGCCCCCUGGGUUAACACUGACGCUCAUGCACGAAAGCGUGGGGAGCAAACAGGAUUAGAAACCCUGGUAGUCC